rnacentral:rRNA from 1 species
AUUGAACGCUGGCGGCAUGCUUUACACAUGCAAGUCGAACGGUAACAGGCCGCAAGGUGCUGACGAGUGGCGAACGGGUGAGUAAUGCAUCGGAACGUGCCCAGGCGUGGGGGAUAACUACUCGACAGAGUAGCUAAUACCGCAUACGAUCAUUGGAUGAAAGCGGGGGACCGUAAGGCCUCUCGGGAUUGGAGCGGCCGAUGUGAGAUUAGGUAGUUGGUGGGGUAAAGGCUCACCAAGCCAACGAUCUGUAGCUGGUCUGAGAGGACGACCAGCCACACUGGGACUGAGACACGGCCCAGACUCCUACGGGAGGCAGCAGUGGGGAAUUUUGGACAAUGGGCGCAAGCCUGAUCCAGCAAUGCCGCGUGCAGGAAGAAGGCCUUCGGGUUGUAAACUGCUUUUGUACGGAACGAAACGGCUCUGGUUAAUACCCGGGGCUAAUGACGGUACCGUAAGAAUAAGCACCGGCUAACUACGUG